UACGUAGGUGGCAAGCGUUGUCCGGAAUUAUUGGGCGUAAAGCGCGCGCAGGCGGUUCUUUUAAGUCUGAUGUGAAAGCCCACGGCUCAACCGUGGAGGGUCAUUGGAAACUGGAGAACUUGAGUACAGAAGAGGAAAGCGGAAUUCCACGUGUAGCGGUGAAAUGCGUAGAGAUGUGGAGGAACACCAGUGGCGAAGGCGGCUUUCUGGACCGUAACUGACGCUGAGACACGAAAGCGUGGGUAGCAAACAGG
rnacentral:rRNA from 1 species